CUUUGUGUAUUAGCUUCAGGGAAGAAAGCUUUCCUCAGUGUCUUGGUUAAUCUUCAUUAUAUCAGUUUGAUUCAAAGUAUGGUCACCUAGAAAGAGGAAAUCUCAACCUGAAUAAUUACUUAGAUCAGAUUCAUCUAUGUGGCAUUUGUCUGAAGGCCAUUGUCUUGACUGCUAAUUGAUGCAGGAGGACCCAGCCCAGGGUGGGUGGUACCAUCCCUAGAAAGGUAGUCCUGAACUGUAUAAAUAAGCUAGCAAAGCAAGCCAGAGAGUCAUCUAGCGAACAAUAUUCCUUUUUGACUUCUGUUUCAAGUUUCCUGUGUUGAGUUCCUGCCCUGAGUUUCCUCAGUAAUGGAGUGUGGCCUGGCAGUGUCAAAUGAAGUCAGCACUUUCCAAGUUGCCUUUGGUUAGAGUGUUUGUCAUAGCAACAGAUGAAAACAGAAUUCAGUAAAAUAGAACAGUUGACCAAAUCUGUGUAAGGGGAUCAGUUCCGUCAUGUGAGGAAUACUGUCUUUCCACUUCCUUUCUAUCCACCUCAUCUACUGUAAGAAACAAUUGGCUACUCUUAUGGCUAUUAACAAACCUGAUGGAUAAAAGUCCUUCUCUGCUUCCCUCUCCACCAGAAUGCUUACAUGGGUGGAAAAAGGUUCUGAGAAGUUUAGGCAAAUGAUGAAGAAACUAAGGAUCGUAGAUAUUAGAGGCUUUCCAAAGGUCAGCAUCACUAUCAAGAAUGGAUAUAACGGGACAGAACUCAGGCAUCAAUAUCCAAGUGAGGAAAUCAUUGAAAGUCUAGGGCUAUGGGAUGAGAGAAGGCCAUUGCAUUUUACAACAUACCAUCCAAUCCAAGUCUGCGACAUGUGGUUUUGA
rnacentral:lncRNA from 1 species